CGGUAACAGGAAGCAGCUUCUCUUUGCUGACGAGUGGCGGACGGGUGAGUAAUGUCUGGGAAACUGCCUGAUGGAGGGGGAUAACUACUGGAAACGGCAGCUAAUACCGCAUAACGUCGCAAGACCAAAGAGGGGGACCUUCGGGCCUCUUGCCAUCGGAUGUGCCCAGAUGGGAUUAGCUAGUAGGUGGGGUAACGGCUCACCUAGGCGACGAUCCCUAGCUGGUCUGAGAGGAUGACCAGCCACACUGGAACUGAGACACGGCCCAGACUCCUACGGGAGGCAGCAGUGGGGAAUAUUGCACAAUGGGCGCAAGCCUGAUGCAGCCAUGCCGCGUGUAUGAAGAAGGCCUUCGGGUUGUAAAGUACUUUCAGCGGGGAGGAAGGUGUUGAGGUUAAUAACCUCAGCAAUUGACGUUACCCGCAGAAGAAGCACCGGCUAACUCCGUGCCAGCAGCCGCGGUAAUACGGAGGGUGCAAGCGUUAAUCGGAAUUACUGGGCGUAAAGCGCACGCAGGCGGUCUGUCAAGUCGGAUGUGAAAUCCCCGGGCUCAACCUGGGAACUGCAUUCGAAACUGGCAGGCUAGAGUCUUGUAGAGGGGGGUAGAAUUCCAGGUGUAGCGGUGAAAUGCGUAGAGAUCUGGAGGAAUACCGGUGGCGAAGGCGGCCCCCUGGACAAAGACUGACGCUCAGGUGCGAAAGCGUGGGGGAGCAAACAGGAUUAGAUACCCUGGUAGUCCACGCCGUAAACGAUGUCGACUUGGGAGGUUGUGCCCUUUGAGGCGUGGCUUCCGGAGCUAACGCG
rnacentral:rRNA from 1 species